GACUAGUCUUACGGCUGAGAGCGGUGCGGUGAAACAACACCGAAUCACUUCACAACACAUCCAUUCCAAAUGGUUUUCUCGGGAAAGUAUAACCUCGAGAGUUUGGAAAACUUUGACCCCUUUAUGAAAGCUCUUGGAAUUCAGGAUGAAGUCAUUAAGAAAAAUAAAGAAUUGAAAACCAUAGUUGAAAUUGUU